AACCCUAACCCCGGGCAGCCCCAGGGGGCUCUUAGAACCUAGACCCACCCGUGGGGCCAUUGACCUCCAAACCUAGAGCCACCGGGGCUGCAGGGGGUCUAGAACCUGGACCCACCAGCGCUGGGAGGGGGAAUUUAGAACCUAGGCCUGCCCGCCCUGGGGAAGAGGAGCCUAACAUAGAACUUAGGUGCUGGGAGGGCAAUCCUAGAAAACAGCACCAGCAGCCUAGAACCCAGCUCAGGUGUUUGGAAGGGGCCCUGCAAUGUAGGAGACAAGCACUGGGAGGGGAACCUAGAACACAGAGCAUAACUGCUUGGAGGGGGCCUAGAAUAUUGAACUUGGGCCUGGGGUGGAAAAGCUAGCAUGUCAGUGCUGGAACAGGGACUCUAGAACACAGCACACAGGUGCUGUGAGGGAGCCUAGAACAAACACCAAAGCUCGGGGGAACCCUAAAAUGUGGGACUCCCCUGGGAGGGGACCCUAGAACAUCAGGGUAGAAGGGGAAUCCAGAUCAUAGCCCCAAGCCCCAAAACAUAGAACACAACAUCAGUGCUAGGAGAGAACCCCCAAAACGAAAGUGCACAGGUCUUCAGAGCUGGAAGGGAAUCUAGAACCCAAAAUGUCAGAGCUGGGAGACACCUUAGAACAUAGGAUUUCUGAGUUGAAAGGUACCUUAGAACAUAGGAUGUCAGAGCUAGUUGGGACCUUAGAACAUAGAAUGUCAGAGCUGGGAGGAACUUUGGGACACAGAACUUCUGAGCUGGAAGGGACCCUAGAACACCGAAUGUCGGAGUUGGGGUGGACCUUAAGACAUAGAAUGUCAGAGCUGGGAGGGAACCUAGGACGCAGACUGUCGUUGCACAGGACUGAAGAGGUUGUAGGGAACCUAGAAUACAGAAUGUCGGAACUGGGAGUCACCCUACAGUACAGAAACCUGGAGCUGGAAGGGACCUUGGAGUGUCGGAUGUCGGAGCUCCGAGGCACCUUAGGACGCAGAGUGUCCGAGCUGGGAGGGGCCAUGGGACACACAAUCAUGUCCGAGCUGGAAGGGACCCUAGAGUUUAUCAUGUCAGAGCUGGGGGACACUUUAGGGCACCGAAUGUCAGAACUGGAGGGGACCCUGGAACAUAAAAUGUCAGAACUGGAAGGGACUUUGGAACACAGGAUGUCGGAGCUAGGAGGAAUCUUAAGACAUAGGAUGUCUGAACUGGGAGGGUCCUUGGGAUACAGACUAUCUGAGCUGGGAGGGACCUUAGAACACAGGAUGUCAGAGCUGGAAGAGACCUUAGAACACAGGAUCUUAGAGUUGGAAGAGACCUUAAAACACAGAAUAUCAGAGCUAGGAGGCACCUUAGAACACAGAAUGUCAGAGCUGGAGGGGGUCUUAGAGCACAGAAUGUCAGAGCUGGAGGGGGUCUUAGGGCAUAGAAUGUCAGGAUUCGGAGGAGUCCUGGGACGUAGAGUGUCACAGCUGGGAGCAACCUUAGGACAUCGAAUGUCUGAGCUGGGUUCGACUUUAGGACAUCGAAUGUCGGUGCUGGGAGGGACUUUAGAACAGAGAAUGUCAGAUCUGGGAGGGGCCUUGGGACAUAGGAUGUCCGAGCUGGGAGGGACCCUAGAGCAUAGGAUGUCCGAGCUGGGAGCCACCUUAGAACACAGAAUGUCCGAGCUCGGCUCAACCUUAACACAUAGGAUGUUCGAGUUGGGAGGGUCCUUAGAACACAGAAUGUCCGAGCUGGGAGAGACCCUAGAGCACAGAAUGGCCAAGCUAGGCUCAACCUUAGAACACAGAAUGUCUGGGCUGGGAGGGUCCUUAGAACACAGGAUGUCAGAUCUGGGAGGGGCCUUGGGACACAGAAUGUCAGAGCUAGAAGUGACCUUAGACCAUAGAAUGUCAGAGCUGGAAGUGACCUUAGCACACAGGAUGUCUGAGCUGGGAGCCACCUUAGCACACAGGAUGUCUGAGCUGGGAGCCACCUUAGCACACAGGGUGGCCCAGCUAGAAGCAGUUUGGGGACUAAGAAUGCGGCAGAUGGGAGGGUCCUUGGGGCCCAGAAUGCCAGCGCUGGAGGGGACCUUAGGAUGUAGAAUGUCAGAGCUGGGAGCCACCCUAGAACGGAGGAUGUCACAGCUGGGAGUGACUUUAGGACGGAGGAUGUCCGAGUUGUCAGUGACUUUUGGACUUAGAAUGUCACAUCUGGGGGUGAUCUUAGGACACAGGAUAUUGGGGCUGGAAAGGACCUUGGGACGCAGAAUGUCAGAACUGGGAAGAACCUUAGGACACAGAAUGUCAGAGCUGGGGGUGACUCUGGGAUAUAGAAUGUCUGAGUUGGGAGGGACUUUAGGCCACAGAAUGUCUGAGCUGGGAGUGUUCUUAGGACAUAGAAUAUCAGACCUGGAAGUAACCUUAGGAUACAGAAUGUCCGAGCUAGAAUCGACUUUAGAACACAGAAUGUCCGAGUUGGGAGGAACUUUGGAGCACAGAAUGUCAGAGCUGGGAGGGAACCUACGACAUAGAAUGUCAGCACUAGGAGGAACCUUAGAACACAGAAUGUCCCAGCUGGGAGGGACCUUAGAACACAGCAUGUUAGAGUGGGGAGGACCCUUAGGUCAUAGAAUGUCCGAGCUGGGAGGGAGCUUCUAACAGCCCAAGAUUUAGAGCAGAAAUGGACCUUAGAGAUUCUGCAGUGAGAUCCUCAGUUUACAGGGAGGGGGGGGUCUACGGUGGAAGGCUGGGUGACCUGUUCUCACAACACCCCACUGGAGGAUCCAGGGCCAACUAAGACCCCUAAGAUAAGGCGGUGCAGGGGUCCUCGAUGAGAUGAGGGUUGUACUGCGGGAUCCCCACGGCCCCUUUCAGCUCCAAUUCGGUGACUCUGAAGUGGUCCCGUGUUCUCUAAUGCCCAUUCUAGUUCUCAGUGCUUUGAUCUUUCCUCCAGCUUUCCCUCUCAUUCAGCUCAAUUCCACAUUUAUUAAGCUUGCGCUGUCAAAAUCAGUGUGCCUUAAGCUUCUGUCUUCAGUGCUGCCAAAGCUAGCGGGUGAUAGAGUCUUUAGUCUGUCUGUGUCCUCUUCCGUUUAAGUCCUACUCCUAUGCCUCAGUGCUGUGCUGAGGCCACUGACUCUGGGUUUUCAAAGGCAAAGCCAAGAGACCAAAGCGUCAGCAAGUUUAGGAAGCAGGAAAAGGACUGACUAGGGAGCUGCCCUAAUUUUUAGUUCGGUCUCUCAUGGGAGGACCCGCUGGGGACACCUAGCCACUAGCUGAGGAGUGGUGGGGAUGGCCUUUGUAGGGGAGGGAGGGCCUUGAUGAAUGAGAGACAGGAUUCUCCAUGUGUAUGUGUCAUGGGCCCUUACCUGCCUUUGAACUCCCCAGUGGUUGUUUUAACUAAAGUUUGUAUUUUCCCUUUCCACAUCUUAGGCAUUGAAAAAUUUUGUUAAGUUGAAUUGGAUUUAGGCUCUGGAAUCAGCUAGUGAUUUGUCACUUGAUUACAGAGUAACACACGGGGAGAUAAAAGGAUAAGUGAGAAAUGGGGCUGCUCUCAGGAAGCUUACAUUCUCGUAGGGAGCUGUGACACAUACAUAAAUCACCACUGGCGAGAGUCUCAUUCUGUCAUUUGUCCAGGCAAAGAAUCAGGCCCAUCAGCUGUCCCAGGGGUGUCUGACUGGGAAGCUGCCAAGGAAAGUAGGACGGAAGGCAGGGAGGGUUGCUUUCUCAAGUCUGUAGAGCAGAGGUUGAGUCUUUGUUUCCAUGUGGGGAAAGGACCUAGCAAAUCUCUGGUAUUGCUGUCAAAGGAGACGAAUUAACUCCGAGAGAUUCAGAAACUUCUGACGAUGGCCCUGGAUGUCGUGCCAUUCAUGGCCAGGAGUCCUGCCAGACCAAGUUUUCCUCUUCUCUCUCAGCCCCCCCAAAAAGAACCAAGAAGAAAAUAAUAAUGAAGAAAAAAGCUCAGGAAUUUAAUAUUUUAUCCUGAAAUAAAUGACGCCACUCAAGAACCUGUUAACUGUACAAAUUACACAGCUCAUGCAUCAUGUUACCCAGCACCAAACAUAACUUGUAAGGAUUUUAGCGGCAACGAAACCCAUUUUACCGGAAGUGAAGU